UAAUGAGUAGCAUAGAGGAAGUGCUAAGAGUUUUGAUCUCUUAUGUGUAGGUUCGAUUCCUAUCUUUUUAA
rnacentral:tRNA from 2 species